GUGAGAUUGAGGGUGAUGUAGGGUUUGUGGUGAGAUCGAGAGUGAUGUAGGGUUUGUGGUGAGACUGAGGGUGAUGUAGGGUUUGUGGUGAGAUCGAGAGUGAUGUAGGGUUUGUGGUGAGAUUGAGGGUGAUGUAGGGUUUGAGGUGAGAUCGAGAGUGAUGUAGGGUUUGUGGGGAGAUCGAGAAUGAUGUAGGGUUUGUUGUGAGAUCGAGAGUGAUGUAGGGUUUGUGGUGUGACUGAGGGUGAUGUAGGGUUUGUGGUGAGACUGAGGGUGAUUUAGGGUUUGUGGUGAGAUCGAGAGUGAUGUAGGGUUUGUGGUGAGAUCGAGAGUGAUGUAGGGUUUGUGAAGAGACUGAGGAUGAUGUAGGGUUUGUGGCGAGAUCAAGAAGGAUGUAGGGUUUGUGGUGAGAUCGAGAGUGAUGUAGGGUUUGUGGUGAGACUGAGGGUGAUGUAGGGUUCGUGGUGAGAUCAAGAGUGAUGUAGGGUUUGUGGUGAGAUCGAGAGUGAUGUAGGGUUUGUGGUGAGACUGAGGGUGAUGUAGGGUUCGUGGUGAGAUCGAGAGUGAUGUAGGGUUUGUGGUGAGACUGAGGGUGAUGUAGGGUUCGUGGUGAGAUCGAGAGUGAUGUAGGGUUUGUGGUGAGAUUGAGGGUGAUGUAGGGUUUGUGGUGAGACUGAGGGUGAUGUAGGAUUUGUGGUGAGAUCAAGAGUGAUGUAGGGUUUGUGGUGAGACUGAGGUGAGGUGGUGAGAUUGAGGGCUAUGUAGGGUUUGUGGGGAGAUCGAGAGUAAUGUAGGGUUUGUGGGGAGAUCGAGAUGGAUGUAGGGUUUGUGGUGAGACUGAGGGUGAUGUUGGGUUUGUGGGGAGAUUGAGAGUGAUGUAGGGUUUGUGGUGAGACUGAGGAUGAUGUAGGGUUUGUGGUGAGAUCAAGAGUGAUGUAGGGUUUGUGGUGAGACUGAGGUGAGGUGGUGAGAUUGAGGGCUAUGUAGGGUUUGUGGGGAGAUUGAGAGUAAUGUUGGGUUUGUUGUGAGAUCGAGAGUAAUGUAGGGUGUGUGGUGAGAUUGAGAGUGAUGUAGGGUUUGUGGUGUGACUGAGGGUGAUGUAGGGUUUGUGGUGAGAUCGAGAAGGAUGUAGGGUUUGUGGUGAGAUUGAGAAGGAUGGAGGGUUUGUGGUGAGAUCGAGAGUGAUGUAGGGUUUGUGGUGAGACUGAGGUGGAUGUAGGGUUUAUGGUGAGAUCAAGAAGGAUGUAGGGUUUGUGGUGAGACCGAGGGUGAUGUAGGGUUCGUGGUGAGAUCGAGAGUGAUGUAGGGUUUGUGGUGAGAUUGAGAGUGAUGUAGGGUUUGUGGUGAGACUGAGGAUGAUGUAGGGUUUGUGGUGAGAUCAAGAGUGAUGUAGGGUUUGUGGUGAGACUGAGGUGAGGUGGUGAGAUUGAGGGCUAUGUAGGGUUUGUGGGGAGAUCGAGAGUAAUGUAGGGUUUGUGGGGAGAUCGAGAGGGAUGUAGGGUUUGUGGGGAGAUCGAGAGUGAUGUAGGAUUUGUGGUGAGAUCGAGAGUGAUGUAGGGUUUGUGGUGAGACUGAGGGUGAUGUAGGGUUUGUGGUGAGAUCGAGAGUGAUGAAGGGUUUGUGGUGAGACUGAGGUGAGGUGGUGAGAUUGAGGGCUAUGUAGGAUUUGUGGUGAGAUCGAGGGUGAUGUAGGGUUUGUGGUGAGACUGAGGGUGAUGUUGGGUUUGUGGUGAGAUCGAGGGUGAUGUAGAGUUUGAGGUGAGACUGAGGGUGAUUUCGGGUUUGUGGUGAGAUUGAGGUGACAUUUAGAGUUAGUGGUGAGACUGAGGUGAGGUGGUGAGAUUGAGGGUGAUGUAGGGUUUGUGGUGAGAUCGAGAGUGAUGUAGGGUUUGUGGUGAGAUCGAGAAGGAUGUAGGGUUUGUGGUGAGAUCGAGAAGGAUGGAGGGUUUGUGGUGAGAUCGAGAGUGAUGUAGGGUUUGUGGUGAGACUGAGGAUGAUGUAGGGUUUAUGGUGAGAUCAAGAAGGAUGUAGGGUUUGUGGUGAGACCGAGGGUGAUGUAGGGUUCGUGGUGAGAUCGAGAGUGAUGUAGGGUUUGUGGUGAGAUUGAGGGUGAUAUAGAGUGUGUGGUGAGACUGAGGGUGAUGUUGGGUGUGUUGUGAGACUGAGGGUGAUGUUUGGUUUGUGGUGAGAUCGAGAGUGAUGUAGGGUUUGUGGUGAGAUCGAGAGUGAUGUAGGGUUUGUGGUGAGAUCAAGAAGGAUGUAGGGUUUGUGGUGAUAUCGAGAGUGAUGUAGAGUUUGUGGUGAGACUGAGGGUGAUGUAGGGUUCGUGGUGAGAUCGAGAGUGAUGUAGGGUUUGUGGUGAGAUUGAGGGUGAUAUAGAGUGUGUGGUGAGACUGAGGGUGAUGUUGGGUGUGUGGUGAGACUGAGGGUGAUGUUGGGUUUGUGGUGAGAUUGAGGGUGAUGUAGGGUUUGUGGUGAGAUCGAGAGUGAUGUUGGGUUUGUGGUGAGAUUGAGGUGAUGUUGGGUUUGUGGUGAGAUUGAGGGUGAUGUAGGGUUUGUGGUGAGACUGAGGGUGAUGUUGGGUUUGUGGUGAGAUUGAGAGUGAUGUAGGGUUUUUGGUGAGAAUGAGGUGAGGUGGUGAGACUGAGGGUGAUGUAGGGUUUGUGGUGAGAUCGAGAGUGAUGUAGGGUUUGAGGUGAGAUUGAGAGUAAUGUUGGGUUUGUUGUGAGAUCGAGAGUAAUGUAGGGUGUGUGGUGAGAUUGAGAGUGAUGUAGGGUUUGUGGUGUGACUGAGGGUGAUGUAGGGUUUGUGGUGAGAUCGAGAAGGAUGUAGGGUUUGUGGUGAGAUCGAGAGUGAUGUAGGUUUUGUGGUGAAACUGAGGAUGGUGUAGGGUUUAUGGUGAGAUCAAGAAGGAUGUAGGGUUUGUGGUGAGAUCGAGAGUGAUGUAGGGUUUGUGGUGAGAUUGAGGGCUAUGUAGGGUUUGUGGGGAGAUCGAGAGUGAUGUAGGGUUUGUGGGGAGAUUGAGAGGGAUGUAGGGUUUGUGGUGAGACUGAGGGUGAUGUUGGGUGUGUGGUGAGACUGAGGGUGAUGUAGGAUUUGUAGUGAGAUUGAGGGUGAUGUAGGGUUUGUGGUGAGACUGAGGGUGAUGUUGGGUUUGUGGUGAGAUCGAGAGUGAUGUAGGGUUUGUUGUGAGACUGAGGUGAGGUGGUGAGAUUGAGGGCUAUGUAGGGUUUGUGGUGAGAUCGAGAGUGAUGUAGGUUUUGUGGGGAGAUAGAGAGGGAUGUAGGGUUUGUGGUGAGAUCGAGAGUGAUGUAGGAUUUGUGGUGAGAUCGAUAGUGAUGUAGGGUUUGUGGUGAGAUCGAGGGUGAUGUAGGGUUUAUGGUGAGAUUGAGGGUGAUAUAGGGUUCGUGGUGAGACUGAAGGUGAUGUAGGGUUUGUGGUGAGACUGAGGGUGAUGUAGGGUUUGUGGUGAGAUCGAGAGUGAUGUAGGGUUUGUGGUGAGAUAGAGAGUGAUGUAGGGUUUGUGGUGAGACCGAGGGAGGUGUAGAGUUUGGGGUGAGACAGGGUGGUGUAGGGUUUGGGGUGAGACUGAGGGUGAUGUAGGGUUUGGGGUGAGACUGAGGGUGAUGUAGGGUUUGUGGCGAGAGUGAGAGUGAUGUAACAGCAGCAAGUACAGCAACAUUAUCAGUUUUCACUCAA